rnacentral:rRNA from 1 species
UACGUAGGGUGCGAGCGUUAAUCGGAAUUACUGGGCGUAAAGCGUGCGCAGGCGGUUCGCUAAGACCGAUGUGAAAUCCCCGGGCUUAACCUGGGAACUGCAUUGGUGACUGGCGAGCUAGAGUGUGGCAGAGGGGGGUAGAAUUCCACGUGUAGCAGUGAAAUGCGUAGAGAUGUGGAGGAAUACCGAUGGCGAAGGCAGCCUCCUGGGCCAACACUGACGCUCAUGCACGAAAGCGUGGGGAGCAAACAGG